GACGAACGCUGGCGGCGUGGAUUAGGCAUGCAAGUCGAACGGUAUCAUCCUUUCGGGGGUGAGAGAGUGGCGAACUGGUGAGUAACACGUAGGUUAUCUACCCUCAAGACGGGGACAACCCGGGGAAACUUGGGCUAAUACCGGAUGUGAGCAACUUUUAGUUGUUUGAAAGGUGGCGUAAGCUGUCGCUUGGGGAUGAGCCUGCGUCCUAUUAGUUAGUUGGUGAGGUAACGGCUCACCUAGGCAAUGAUAGGUAGGCGGCCUUAACGGGUGGUCGCCCACACUGGGAUUGAGAUACGGCCCAGACUCCUACGGGAGGCAGCAGUCGAGAAUAGUCUACAAUGGUCGGAAGACUGAUAGUGCGACGCCGCGUGAACGAUGAAUCCCUUCGGGGUGUAAAGUUCUUUUAUAUGUGAGCAGUGCUUCUUAUAUUAACAGUAUGGGGAGAGAGAUAUUAGCAUAUGAAUAAGCAACGGCUAACUCCGUGCCAGCAGCCGCGGUAAU
rnacentral:rRNA from 1 species